UACGGGGGGGGCAAGCGUUGUUCGGAAUUACUGGGCGUAAAGGGCUCGUAGGCGGCCAACUAAGUCAGACGUGAAAUCCCUCGGCUUAACCGGGGAACUGCGUCUGAUACUGGAUGGCUUGAGGUUGGGAGAGGGAUGCGGAAUUCCAGGUGUAGCGGUGAAAUGCGUAGAUAUCUGGAGGAACACCGGUGGCGAAGGCAGGUCACUGGGCCGCAACUGACGCUGAGGAGCGAAAGCAUGGGGAGCGAACAGG
rnacentral:rRNA from 1 species